rnacentral:rRNA from 1 species
AUGCACGCUGGCGGCGUGCCUAAUACAUGCAAGACGAGCGAACAGAUGAGGAGCUUGCUCCUCUGACGUUAGCGGCGGACGGGUGAGUAACACGUGGAUAACCUACCUAUAAGACUGGGAUAACUUCGGGAAACCGGAGCUAAUACCGGAUAAUAUAUUGAACCGCAUGGUUCAAUAGUGAAAGACGGUUUUGCUGUCACUUAUAGAUGGAUCCGCGCCGCAUUAGCUAGUUGGUAAGGUAACGGCUUACCAAGGCAACGAUGCGUAGCCGACCUGAGAGGGUGAUCGGCCACACUGGAACUGAGACACGGUCCAGACUCCUACGGGAGGCAGCAGUAGGGAAUCUUCCGCAAUGGGCGAAAGCCUGACGGAGCAACGCCGCGUGAGUGAUGAAGGUCUUCGGAUCGUAAAACUCUGUUAUUAGGGAAGAACAAAUGUGUAAGUAACUAUGCACGUCUUGACGGUACCUAAUCAGAAAGCCACGGCUAACUACGUG